rnacentral:misc_RNA from 1 species
UCGUACAAUGGAGGUGCUGGGGUUGUCGCUGACUUUUGAAAGGGUCGUGCACACCUCGGUGCUCUCGUACACAAUCCAUCUCACCCCUUUUGUGCAUUACCGCAUGGGGACCCCUUUUGGCUAGUUCUGAGGGGGGUUUUCAUGUUUUUACACAGACACCCUUUUAAUGCAAUGUGUAGAAUGUCUUUUUGCGAUCACACGCAAUCAAUA